AAACAAACCAUGGAGAAAAAACAGAGGGCAAAACGGAAAACCAAAGCGUGGAGAGAAGGAGUCCCAACACAGUUCCAAACGGCACCAAUGGCCACACGCCUCUCCUCCCGCCUCCUCAUCCAUUUACCGGCGCCCGCCGCCGCCGUCACCACAACUUCUCCCCGGCUACGGAAGCCCGCCGCAGCACGCACCGCGUCCUACCGGAGGCGCAGGCCACGCCUCGCCGUCUCGGCAGGGGCGGCGCCGAGCGGCGGCGCGGUCGCCCCGGCGGCACCGGCCGGAGAGAACAGGGACGCCGGGCUGACGCCGGCCGAGGCGCAGCGGCUGGUGGAGUUCCUGAAGGCCGACCUGCCGCACCUGUUCGACAACGUGGGCAUCGACCGCUCCGCGUACGACGACCGCGUCCGCUUCCGCGACCCCAUCACCCGCUACGACGACAUCGACGGCUACCUCGCCAACAUCAGCCUCCUCAAGGUCAUCUUCCGCCCCGACUUCUACCUGCACGACGCCAAGCAGACAGGGCCGUAUGAGAUUACCACGAGGUGGACCAUGGUCAUGAAGUUCUCUCUCCUGCCGUGGAAGCCGGAGCUGGUCUUCACCGGGUUGUCGAUCAUGGGCGUCAACCCACAGAAUCUCAAGUUCUGCAGCCAUGUGGAUAUUUGGGAUUCAAUACAGAACAAUGAAUACUUCUCCUUGGAAGGAUUGGUUGAAGUUUUCAAGCAGCUACGAUACUACAAGACCCCAGAUAUAGAAACACCAAGCUACCUCGUUCUGAAAAAGACUGCAAAUUAUGAGGUCAGGAAGUAUCCACCAUUUUCAGUAGCUGAAGCAAAAGGAGAAAAACUAACAGGAUCAUCAGGUUUUAACAAUGUUACUGGGUAUAUAUUUGGCAAGAAUGCUUCAUCUGAAAAGAUUGCAAUGACUACACCUGUCUUCACUCAGGCUUCUGAUGACAAACUCUCAGACGUAUCCAUACAGAUAGCUCUGCCAAUGAACAAAGACUUGAACAGUUUACCAGCUCCAAAUACAGAAGCGGUUACCUUGCGAAAGGUUGAAGGAGGCAUUGCUGCAGUGAAAAAAUUCAGUGGGCGACCAGAAGAGGAAAUUGUGGCCAAGAAAGAGAAGGAGCUACGCUCCCAGCUACUCAAAGAUGGGUUGAAGCCUCGAAAAGGCUGUUUGCUUGCACGUUACAAUGAUCCUAGCACAAAGGACUUUAUGAAGAGGAACGAGGUGCUUAUAUGGCUAAACGAUUUCGCACUGGAGUAGUAGUCUUCACUCUUCACUGUAAAUCGUACAGCAUAUUUCUGCAACAUCAGACACUGUAUGUUGGAGCUUCCAGAGCAUCAUAGAAAGGAGAGAUUACGAGCAGAUGCAAUCUAUGUAUAGAAGAUGUAAAUUCCAAAAGGUAAAAUAGGCCAGAUACUAAAAAUGUAGGUCAUAUGAUUCUGUUUGUACGCCAAACCAGAAUUGAAUGAGGAAAUAUGUUAGGAUAAUACUACCUGCGUUCCUAAAUAUAAGUAUUUUUAGAAAUUUCAAUGCAAACUACGUACGGAUGUAUAUAGACAUAUUUUAGAGUGUAGAUUCACUCAUUUUACUCUGUAUGUAGUCCCUUACUGGAAUCUCUGAAAAGACUUAUAUUUAACAGAGGGAGUAUGUAAGAAGCUCUAUGCAUCUGUGCUACUAUUUUCUUCUCGGGCUUCUACAACUGAGCAUAUCGCCCAUUCCACAUGAUAUUUACCAUAAGUAGUGCUUGCUUUUUCAUCCUUGUUACUGUACUGACUGGCCAAGAGUCAAGACGCAAGACGGCAAAAGGCAAACUUACAUCCACCUGCCAUGAAUAUAACUAGCCCUGCCUGUCAAUUACCCUGCUUGGAGGAAUACAUUUAUUUACAGAACAAUGCAAAAUUGUCCAUGUAUGUUUUAUCAGGUACAAACCAAUUUUUUUGGAAACAUAGAGUCAUUUGAAAAAGAAAUGGAAACAGGUUUAAGACUCAGAAACAAUACCAGAUUCAUCACUGAAUUAUUUCUGAUUUACCAUUUAUUUUUCCAAUACCAUCAUCCUUCAAAAUUAUUCAAUCACUUUUGUCCUCUUUUUGAAGAAAUGUGGGAAACAAGUGUUUCUUUUCUAGGAUACACUUCACCCUACUAAAUGAUACAUACAUCAUUGAUAAUAGUGCAAUCCGUUUUGCCCUUUUUAGAAGAGAUAUCUGAAAAAUUAUUAAAUGUGUGACACUUACUCCCUCCGUCCGAAAAAGCGGACAAGCUUGGGACAAGUUUUUUUGGACGGAGGGAGUAUAAAAUAAACAAAAAAUAGUAUGCAAGAUAUGCAAAGUUCUAGAAAUAAACGACAAAAAUAUUUAAAUUACACGCAUGCUGCACAUUUUGAGUAAAUAAAUGGUCAAGGCUGCCUUACAUCAUCAAAUCAUCUGAUUGCAGUUCACUCCAUGACUCGUGCUAUGUCGAUGGGCCACUUCAUAUCGGGUAAUCUAUAUACGAAAUGUCUUCAAAACUUGUAAAAGAAGCCAGAAGUACAACAUGGAAAUCUUCCACGAAAGUGUUUGGAACUUGCCAUUCUUCGUUGCUUGAUUAGUCAAUGUUACACCUGAAAAUGCUAGGGUGUACGGAUCAGGUUAUUUGAUUCUUUUAGUCAUAAUAAUAAAAUAACUACAAUUCAGUUCAAGAUAGUAGUACAUAAUUAAUUUGUUUCUCACAAGUCAAGAGAUGGAAAAGGAGAGCAAUCCACUUCACAAUGCCAAGUACACAAGAAAGCUAAGGUGGCAACAGGUGUUCUUUUCAUAAUAUUGCAGUCAUC
rnacentral:rRNA from 1 species